UACGUAGGGUGCAAGCGUUAAUCGGAAUUACUGGGCGUAAAGCGUGCGCAGGCGGUUUUGUAAGUCUGUCGUGAAAUCCCUGGGCUCAACCUAGGAAUUGCGAUGGAGACUGCAAGGCUAGAAUCUGGCAGAGGGGGGUAGAAUUCCACGUGUAGCAGUGAAAUGCGUAGAGAUGUGGAGGAACACCGAUGGCGAAGGCAGCCCCCUGGGUCGAAGA
rnacentral:rRNA from 1 species